rnacentral:rRNA from 1 species
GACGAACGCUGGCGGCGUGCCUAAUACAUGCAAGUAGAGCGAAGCGGCGGAUGGGUAAGUAACGCGUGGGUAACCUGCCCUUAAGUCUGGGAUACCAUUUGGAAACAGAUGCUAAUACCGGAUACUAAAGGAUGGACCUGCACUGCAUUAGCUAAGUGGUAAGGUAACGGCUGACCAAGGCGAGGAUGCAGAGCCGAGUUGAGAGACUGAGCGGCCACAUUGGGAAUGAGACACGGCCCAAACUCCUACGGGAGGCAGCAGUAGGGAAUCUGCCACAAUGGACGAAAGUCUGAUGGAGCAACGCCGCGUGAGUGAAGAAGGUUUUCGGAUCGUAAAGCUCUGUUGUUGGUGAAGCGGUAAUCAACCAGAAAGGCACGGCUAACUACGUGCCAGCAGCCGCGGUAAUAC